rnacentral:rRNA from 1 species
CCUACGGGAGGCAGCAGUGGGGAAUAUUGCACAAUGGGCGCAAGCCUGAUGCAGCGACGCCGCGUGAGGGAUGGAGGCCUUCGGGUUGUAAACCUCUUUUAUCGGGGAGCAAGCGUGAGUGAGUUUACCCGUUGAAUAAGCACCGGCUAACUACGUGCCAGCAGCCGCGGUAAUACGUAGGGUGCAAGCGUUAUCCGGAAUUAUUGGGCGUAAAGGGCUCGUAGGCGGUUCGUCGCGUCCGGUGUGAAAGUCCAUCGCUUAACGGUGGAUCCGCGCCGGGUACGGGCGGGCUUGAGUGCGGUAGGGGAGACUGGAAUUCCCGGUGUAACGGUGGAAUGUGUAGAUAUCGGGAAGAACACCAAUGGCGAAGGCAGGUCUCUGGGCCGUUACUGACGCUGAGGAGCGAAAGCGUGGGGAGCGAACAGGAUUAGAUACCCCAGUAGUC